AUUGAACGCUGGCGGCAGGCCUAACACAUGCAAGUCGAGCGAGCGGCGGACGGGUGAGUAAUGUCUGGGAAACUGCCUGAUGGAGGGGGAUAACUACUGGAAACGGUAGCUAAUACCGCAUACCCUCAGAUGUGCCCAGAUGGGAUUAGCUAGUAGGUGGGGUAACGGCUCACCUAGGCGACGAUCCCUAGCUGGUCUGAGAGGAUGACCAGACAAACUGGAACUGAGACACGGUCCAGACUCGAACGUGAGGCAGAAGUGGGGAAUAUUGCACAAGGGGAGCAAGCCUGAUACAGCCAGGCCGCGUGUGUGAAGAAGGCCUUCGGGGUGUAAAGCACUUUCAGCGGGGAGGCGUUACCCGCAGAAGAAGCACCGGCUAACUCCGUGCCAGCAGCCGCGGUAAUUC
rnacentral:rRNA from 1 species